rnacentral:rRNA from 1 species
GAUCAACGCUGGCGGCGUGCCUAAUGCAUGCAAGUCGAGCGGGGUGCUCGGAAACGGGGACUUACGCGGCGGACGGGUGCGUAACACGUGGGCAACCUGCCCUGGGGUGGGGGAUAGCCGUGGGAAACCGCGGGUAAUUCCGCAUACGUUCAUCUUCCGGCAGGGAGGGUGAAGAAAGGGAGCAAUCCCGCCCGAGGAGGGGGCUGCGGCCGAUUAGCUAGUUGGUGGGGUAAGGGCUUACCAAGGCGAUGAUCGGUAGCUGGUCUGAGAGGACGGCCAGCCACACGGGGACUGAGAACGGCCCCGACUCCUACGGGAGGCAGCAGCAAGGAAUCUUCCGCAAUGGGGGCAACCCUGACGGAGCAACGCCGCGUGGGGGAUGACGCGCUUCGGCGUGUAAACCCCUUUCAGCAGGGACGAAAAUGACGGUACCUGCAGAAGAAGCCCCGGCCAACUACGUGCCAGCCGCCGCGGUAAC